AACGCUGGCGGUGCGCCUUAUGCAUGCAAGUCGAGCGAAGCUUUUCAGUAGUUUACUACAGAAAAUGACUGAGCGGCGAACGGGUGAGUAACGCGUGAGCAAUCUACCUUAGUUACAGGGAUAGCCCGAGGAAACUCGGAUUAAUACCUGAUAUUCUUUAUUUCUCGCAUGAGAACGAAAGGAAAGGUCAGCCGAACUAAGAUGAGCUCGCGUUCUAUCAGCUAGUUGGUGAGGUAAAAGCUCACCAAGGCUACGACGGAUAGCUGGUCUGAGAGGACGAUCAGCCACACUGGGACUGAGACACGGCCCAGACUCCUACGGGAGGCUGCAGCAGGGAAUAUUGCGCAAUGAGCGAAAGCUUGACGCAGCGACACCGCGUGUGGGAUGACGGAUCUAGGUUUGUAAACCACUUUCAGGAGGGAAGAAAAUGACGGUACCUCCACAAGAAGCCCCGGCCAA
rnacentral:rRNA from 1 species